GCGUGCGGGAUGACGCCUUUCGGGGUGUAAACCGCUUUUGUCGGGGACGAAGGCUGGAGCAAUCCGGUGAGACGGUACCCGGCGAAGAAGGACCGGCUAACUACGUGCCAGCAGCCGCGGUAAUACGUGGGGUCCAAGCGUUGUCCGGAAUUACUGGGCGUAAAGGGCGUGCAGGUGGUUUGGUAAGCUUGGCGUGAAAGCCCCCGGCCCAACCGGGGAGGGUCGUCGAGGACUGUCAGACUUGAGGGGCGCAGGGGUCGGUGGAAUUCCGGGUGUAGUGGUGAAAUGCGUAGAGAUCCGGAGGAACACCAGUGGCGAAGGCGGCCGACUGGGCGCACCCUGACACUGAGACGCGAAGGCGUGGGGAGCG
rnacentral:rRNA from 1 species